AUUAAACGCUGGCGGCAUGCCUUACACAUGCAAGUCGAACGGCAGCACGGGGGCAACCCUGGUGGCGAGUGGCGGACGGGUGAGUAAAGCAUCGGAACGUAUCCUGGAGUGGGGGAUAACGUAGCGAAAGUUACGCUAAUACCGCAUAUUCUGUGAGCAGGAAAGCAGGGGAUCGCAAGACCUUGCGCUCUGGGAGCGGCCGAUGUCGGAUUAGCUAGUUGGUGGGGUAAAGGCCUACCAAGGCGACGAUCCGUAGCGGGUCUGAGAGGAUGAUCCGCCACACUGGGACUGAGACACGGCCCAGACUCCUACGGGAGGCAGCAGUGGGGAAUAUUGGACAAUGGGCGAAAGCCUGAUCCAGCCAUGCCGCGUGAGUGAUGAAGGCCCUAGGGUUGUUAAAGGCUCUUUCAACGGUGAAGAUAAUGACGGUAACCGUAGAAGAAGCCCCGGGC
rnacentral:rRNA from 1 species